rnacentral:rRNA from 1 species
AAGCCAGUGGUGAACUCCACAUCCGCAUCCUUUGCUGAGGAUACGGUUAACGGAGCGAAAGCGACGUUCAACCGCAAAACAAGCAGAGGGGGCUUAGUGGUGGGGUGACUGCGUACCUUUUGUAUAAUGGGUCAGCGACUUAUAUUCUGUAGCAAGGUUAACCGUAUAGGGGAGCCGGAGGGAAACCGAGUCUUAAUUGGGCGUUAAGUUGCAGGGUAUAGACCCGAAACCCGGUGAUCUAGCCAUGGGCAGGUUGAAGGUUGGGUAACACUAACUGGAGGACCGAACCGACUAAUGUUGAAAAAUUAGCGGAUGACCUGUGGCUGGGGGUGAAAGGCCAAUCAAACCGGGAGAUAGCUGGUUCUCCCCGAAAGCUAUUUAGGUAGCGCCUCGUGAAUUCAUCUCCGGGGGUAGAGCACUGUUUCGGCUAGGGGGCCAUCCCGGCUUACCAACCCGAUGCAAACUGCGAAUACCGGAGAAUGUUAUCACGGGAGACACACGGCGGGUGCUAACGUCCGUCGUGAAGAGGGAAACAACCCAGACCGCCAGCUAAGGUCCCAAAGUCAUGGUUAAGUGGGAAACGAUGUGGGAAGGCCCAGACAGCCAGGAUGUUGGCUUAGAAGCAGCCAUCAUUUAAAGAAAGCGUAAUAGCUCACUGGUCGAGUCGGCCUGCGCGGAAGAUGUAACGGGGCUAAACCAUGCACCGAAGCUGCGGCAGCGAACGUAUCACCCAAGACAACUUUACGGAGUUGACGAUUGACGGAGCGAAGCGACGUCAAAGCGUUCAUUAAAGUCGAGUUGGCUUAGGGAUACGUUCGUUGGGUAGGGGAGCGUUCUGUAAGCCUGUGAAGGUGUGUCGUGAGGCAUGCUGGAGGUAUCAGAAGUGCGAAUGCUGACAUAAGUAACGAUAAAGCGGGUGAAAAGCCCGCUCGCCGGAAGACCAAGGGUUCCUGUCCAACGUUAAUCGGGGCAGGGUGAGUCGACCCCUAAGGCGAGGCCGAAAGGCGUAGUCGAUGGGAAACGGGUUAAUAUUCCCGUACUUGGUGUUACUGCGAAGGGGGGACGGAGAAGGCUAUGUUGGCCGGGCGACGGUUGUCCCGGUU